UCCCUCUCAGGGUCGCAUCUGGAGAGUUUCCAGUAGUCUAUCAGUCUCAACUAUGGGAGAGAGAGUCAAGCAGAGGCAUACCCAUUCCAUUCCUAGCUUGGGCAGUGGCUAGCGAGUGGAAGGCAAUCUGCUAUAAGU
rnacentral:snoRNA from 1 species